GUAUAAAUCCCCUGGGAUCUUGUUGAAAGGGUUAUGAGUCUGAGAAGGGGCCUGAGGUUCUGCAUUUCAAACAAGCUCUCGAGUGAUGCCAGU
rnacentral:pre_miRNA from 1 species